rnacentral:rRNA from 1 species
UACGGGAGGCAGCAGUAGGGAAUAUUGGUAAUGUGCGAAAGCGCGAACCAGCAACGCCGCGUGUGCGAUGAAGGCCUUCGGGUUGUAAAGCACUUUUUAAGGGGAUGAGGAAGGACAGUACCCUUAGAAUAAGCCUCGGCUAACUACGUGCCAGCAGCCGCGGUAAAACGUAGGAGGCGAGCGUUAUCCGGAUUUACUGGGCGUAAAGCGUGUGUAGGCGGUUUGAUAAGUUGGAUGUGAAAGCUCCUGGCUUAACUGGGAGAGGUCGUUCAAAACUAUCAGACUCGAGAGUGGUAGAGGGAGGUGGAAUUCCGGGUGUAGUGGUGAAAUGCGUAGAUAUCCGGAGGAACACCAGUGGCGAAAGCGGCCUCCUGGCCCAUUUCUGACGCUCAGACACGAAAGCUAAGGUAGCAAACGGGAUUAGAGACCCCGGUAGUCUUAGCUGUAAACGAUGUGAACUUAGUGUCGGUGGGGUUAAAUCCAUCGGUACUGAAGCUAACGCGAUAAGUUCACCGCCUGGGGACUACGACCGCAAGGUUAAAACUCAAAGGAAUUGACGG